GAUGAACGCUGGCGGCGUGCUUAACACAUGCAAGUCGAACGAAGCACUUUAACCUGAUUCUUCGGAUGAAGGUUUUUGUGACUGAGUGGCGGACGGGUGAGUAACGCGUGGGUAACCUGCCUCAUACAGGGGGAUAACAGUUAGAAAUGACUGCUAAUACCGCAUAAGACCACAGAGCCGCAUGGCUCGGUGGGAAAAACUCCGGUGGUAUGAGAUGGACCCGCGUCUGAUUAGGUAGUUGGUGGGGUAACGGCCUACCAAGCCAACGAUCAGUAGCCGAGCUGAGAGGGUGACCGGCCACAUUGGGACUGAGACACGGCCCAAACUCCUACGGGAGGCAGCAGUGGGGAAUAUUGCACAAUGGGGGAAACCCUGAUGCAGCGACGCCGCGUGAGCGAAGAAGUAUUUCGGUAUGUAAUGCUCUAUCAGCAGGGAAGAAAAUGACGGUACCUGACUAAGAAGCACCGGCUAAAUACGUG
rnacentral:rRNA from 1 species